rnacentral:rRNA from 1 species
GAUGAACGCUGGCGGCGUGCCUAAUACAUGCAAGUCGAGCGAACAGACGAGGAGCUUGCUCCUCUGAUGUUAGCGGCGGACGGGUGAGUAACACGUGGAUAACCUACCUAUAAGACUGGGAUAACUUCGGGAAACCGGAGCUAAUACCGGAUAACAUGUUGAACCGCAUGGUUCAACAGUGAAAGACGGUCUUGCUGUCACUUAUAGAUGGAUCCGCGCCGCAAUAGCUAGUUGGUAAGGUAACGGCUUACCAAGGCAACGAUGCGUAGCCGACCUGAGAGGGUGAUCGGCCACCCUGGAACUGAGACACGGUCCAGACUCCUACGGGAGGCAGCAGUAGGGAAUCUUCCGCAACGGGCGAAAGCCUGACGGAGCAACGCCGCGUGAGUGAAGAAGGUCUUCGGAUCGUAAAACUCUGUUAUUAGGGAAGAACAAAUGUGUAAGUAACUAUGCACGUCUUGACGGUACCUAAUCAGAAAGCCACGGCUAACUACGUG